GUUUGUAUCUCUGGGAGCAUAUUUUUGAAGGCUUACUUGAUCCCAGCGAUGUGACUGCUCAAUGGAGAGAAGGAAAGUCAGUCGUAGGAAGAACACAGUACAGAAAGAAAGACAGAAAUAUGACUCCUUUUUCACCACUGAAUCGGUAACAUCAUCCAUAGGCUGUGCUCAGAAUAUGAACGCAUGAAUACAUACAAGGCAAACUGAACUUCUGGAUGAGCCUGAUGAAGCCCUGUCACCUCUGGGCAGUGUAGCAUGUGACUCAGUUAUUGAGAGUACAGACUCUGGAGCCAGACUAUCUUAGUUCAAAUUCUUUUAUUUUUUUCAGACAGAGUCUU
rnacentral:sRNA from 1 species